rnacentral:rRNA from 1 species
AAACCAACAGGGAUUGCCUUAGUAACGGCGAGUGAAGCGGCAAAAGCUCAAAUUUGAAAUCUGGCGCCUUCGGUGUCCGAGUUGUAAUUUGAAGAAGGUAACUUUGGAGUUGGCUCUUGUCUAUGUUCCUUGGAACAGGACGUCACAGAGGGUGAGAAUCCCGUGCGAUGAGAUGCCCAAUUCUAUGUAAAGUGCUUUCGAAGAGUCGAGUUGUUUGGGAAUGCAGCUCUAAGUGGGUGGUAAAUUCCAUCUAAAGCUAAAUAUUGGCGAGAGACCGAUAGCGAACAAGUACAGUGAUGGAAAGAUGAAAAGAACUUUGAAAAGAGAGUGAAAAAGUACGUGAAAUUGUUGAAAGGGAAGGGCUUGAGAUCAGACUUGGUAUUUUGCGAUCCUUUCCUUCUUGGUUGGGUUCUCCGCAGCUUACUGGGCCAGCAUCGGUUUGGAUGGUAGGAUAAUGAUUAAGGAAUGUGGCUCUACUUCGGUGGAGUGUUAUAGCCUUGGUUGAUACUGCCUGUCUAGACCGAGGACUGCGUCUUUGACUAGGAUGCUGGCAUAAUGAUCUUAAGCCAC